AGCAAAAAAAAGGUCUUUUGGGCAAAAUCCCCUUUUGCCUUUCAAUUUUUUUUUUCAAAAAAAAAUGGCCCCCUAUCCCUCUGCUAAGGUUUCGACCCUGCUUUGGGGAGCCACAUAGGAUGGUCAUCGGCGCCUCAACGCCUCCACCUCGGACGCCGAACCACGGGGAAAAUCCAAGUACGUGAACAAGCACGUCUCUGACGUGGCAUGGUGGAAGAGUGCACGACGCGCAACGUGCGGUGCCUAGGGGCUGCUUCGGUGGCGGCAGCUAAAGGCUGGUUGCUAGGGUUCUGCCAAAAAUGUUUUUUGGUUUUGGGCUUAAAAGUUUGGGCUAGGGUUUAAGUGUUUGGUUUGGGUUUCAAUUUUGUAUUGGGCUGUUUGUAUUUUGGGCCAUGGUUUAAAAUUUGGGUCUGAAUUUGUAAACAAAAUGGACUAUUUAUUUUGAUUUUUUUGUUUAUGGGCCCCGGGCUGAAUUGGGCCAAAACAAUAUCAACAGA